rnacentral:rRNA from 1 species
UCGAGAAUAUUUCACAAUGGGGGCAACCCUGAUGGAGCGACGCCGCGUGGCGGAUCCGGUCUUCGGAUUGUAAACUCCUGUCAUGCGUGAACAAGGUUGCUUGGUUCCUACCUGGGCAAAUUGAUGGUAACGCAAGAGGAAGCGACGGCUAACUCUGUGCCAGCAGCCGCGGUAAUACAGAGGUCUCAAGCGUUGUUCGGAAUCACUGGGCGUAAAGGGUGCGUAGGUGGCGUGGUAAGUCAGAUGUGAAAGCCCGGGGCUCAACCUCGGAACUGCAUCCGAUACUGCCAGGCUAGAGUACUGGAGAGGUGAGUAGAAUGCGCGGUGUAGCAGUGAAAUGCGUAGAUAUCGAGAGGAAGACCAGGGGCGUAGGCAGGUCACUGGACAGUUACUGACACUGAGGCACGAAGUCAAGGGGAGCAAACG